UGCGGGGAGCUACAAUGCAGUCGAACGAUGAAGCCCAGCUUGCUGGGCGGAUUAGUGGCGAACGGGUGAGUAACACGUGAGUAACCUGCCCUUGACUCUGGGAUAAGCCCGGGAAACUGGGUCUAAUACCGGAUAGGAGCGCCUGUCGCAUGACGGGUGCUGGAAAGAUCUUUCGGUCAUGGAUGGACUCGCGGCCUAUCAGCUUGUUGGUGAGGUAAUGGCUCACCAAGGCGACGACGGGUAGCCGGCCUGAGAGGGUGACCGGCCACACUGGGACUGAGACACGGCCCAGACUCCUACGGGAGGCAGCAGUGGGGAAUAUUGCACAAUGGGCGGAAGCCUGAUGCAGCGACGCCGCGUGAGGGAUGACGGCCUUCGGGUUGUAAACCUCUUUCAGUAGGGAAGAAGCGAAAGUGACGGUACCUGCAGAAGAAGCACCGGCUAACUACGUGCCAGCAGCCGCGGUAAUACGUAGGGUGCGAGCGUUAUCCGGAAUUAUUGGGCGUAAAGAGCUCGUAGGCGGUUUGUCGCGUCUGUCGUGAAAGUCCGGGGCUUAACCCCGGAUCUGCGGUGGGUACGGGCAGACUAGAGUGCAGUAGGGGAGACUGGAAUUCCUGGUGUAGCGGUGGAAUGCGCAGAUAUCAGGAGGAACACCGAUGGCGAAGGCAGGUCUCUGGGCUGUAACUGACGCUGAGGAGCGAAAGCAUGGGGAGCGAACAGGAUUAGAUACCCUGGUAGUCCAUGCCGUAAACGUUGGGCACUAGGUGUGGGGACCAUUCCACGGUUUCCGCGCCGCAGCUAACGCAUUAAGUGCCCCGCCUGGGGAGUACGGCCGCAAGGCUAAAACUCAAAGGAAUUGACGGGGGCCCGCACAAGCGGCGGAGCAUGCGGAUUAAUUCGAUGCAACGCGAAGAACCUUACCAAGGCUUGACAUGUUUUCGAUCGCCGUGGAGACACGGUUUCCCCUUUGGGGCGGAUUCACAGGUGGUGCAUGGUUGUCGUCAGCUCGUGUCGUGAGAUGUUGGGUUAAGUCCCGCAACGAGCGCAACCCUCGUUCCAUGUUGCCAGCACGUUGUGGUGGGGACUCAUGGGAGACUGCCGGGGUCAACUCGGAGGAAGGUGAGGACGACGUCAAAUCAUCAUGCCCCUUAUGUCUUGGGCUUCACGCAUGCUACAAUGGCCGGUACAAUGGGUUGCAAUACUGUGAGGUGGAGCUAAUCCCAAAAAGCCGGUCUCAGUUCGGAUUGGGGUCUGCAACUCGACCCCAUGAAGUCGGAGUCGCUAGUAAUCGCAGAUCAGCAACGCUGCGGUGAAUACGUUCCCGGGCCUUGUACACACCGCCCGUCAAGUCACGAAAGUCGGUAAUACCCGAAGCCGGUGGCCUAACCCU
rnacentral:rRNA from 1 species